rnacentral:rRNA from 1 species
UACAGAGGGUGCGAGCGUUAAUCGGAAUUACUGGGCGUAAAGCGCGCGUAGGCGGCUUCGCAAGUCGGGUGUGAAAUCCCCAAGCUCAACUUGGGAACUGCAUUCGAGACUGCGUUGCUAGAGUAUGGGAGAGGGAAGUGGAAUUUCAGGUGUAGCGGUGAAAUGCGUAGAUAUCUGGAGGAACACCGGUGGCGAAGGCGGCAUCCUGGACCAUGACUGACGCUGAGGAGCGAAAGCCAGGGGAGCAAAGCGGG